rnacentral:rRNA from 1 species
UAGCGUAUAUUAAAGUUAGUUGUCAGUUAAAAAGUACUCGUAGUUGAAGUUCUGAUUGCUCAGGUUUCCAGCCUUAGGCGGAGAUACUGACAGUCAUCCGCUUGCAAACAUAUGUUCGAUCUUCACCGGUUGGCUAUGUGAGUAAGCACUUUACCUUGAGAAAAACAGAGUGUUCCAGGCAGGUUUGUCCGGGAUGCAUUAGCAUGGAAUAAUAGAACAUGACUGAAGUCGAUUUAUUGGUUUAAGGCUUUAGUAAUGAUUAAUAGGAACAGUCGGGGGCAUUCGUACUCAGCAGUCAGAGGUGAAAUUCUAAGAUUUGCUGAAGACGAACUAAUGCGAAAGCAUUUGCCAAGGAUGUUUUCAUUAAUCAAGAACGAAAGUUAGGGGAUCAAAGACGAUCAGAUACCGUCCUAGUCUUAACUAUAAACUAUGCCGACUCGGAUUCAGAUGAAUCAAAAUGUUCAUUUGGGACCGUAGGAGAAAUCAAAGUCUUUGGGUUCUGGGGGG